CCUACGGGUGGCAGCAGUGAGGAAUAUUGGUCAAUGGGCGGAAGCCUGAACCAGCCAAGUCGCGUGAGGGAUUAAGGCCCUAUGGGUCGUAAACCUCUUUUGUCAGGGAGCAAUGGCGUCCACGUGUGGGCGUAUGGAGAGUACCUGAAGAAAAAGCAUCGGCUAACUCCGUGCCAGCAGCCGCGGUAAUACGGAGGAUUCAAGCGUUAUCCGGAUUUAUUGGGUUUAAAGGUGGCGUAGGCGGUUCGAUAAGUUAGAGGUGAAAUCCCGGGGCUCAACUCCGGCACUGCCUCUGAUACUGUCGGGCUAGAGUUUAGUUGCGGUAGGCGGAAUGUAUGGUGUAGCGGUGAAAUGCAGAGAGAUCAUACAGAACACCGAUUGCGAAGGCAGCUUACCAAACUACGACUGACGUUGAGGCACGAAAGCGUGGGGAGCAAACAGGAUUAGAUACACUUGUAGUC
rnacentral:rRNA from 1 species